UACGAAGGGGGCUAGCGUUGCUCGGAAUCACUGGGCGUAAAGCGCACGUAGGCGGCUUACUAAGUCAGGGGUGAAAUCCUGGAGCUCAACUCCAGAACUGCCUUUGAUACUGGUGAGCUUGAGUCCGGAAGAGGUGAGUGGAACUGCGAGUGUAGAGGUGAAAUUCGUAGAUAUUCGCAAGAACACCGGUGGCGAAGGCGGCGACCUGGUCCGAUACUGACGCUGAGACGCGAAAGCGUGGGGAGCGAACAGG
rnacentral:rRNA from 1 species